CGACAUUUCUGUUGUAUAGUGUUCAAAUUAAAUGCCAGGUUGUUUGUUCGUGCAGUUCCAGUACCACCUGGUGGCAAGUUUGUGAGUGUAUUGUCAUUUGAAUUGGGCAUAUCUUCGCCCCCCCCCCCCCAUUUUUGAGGACCCACCCGAAGUCUGAUGGAAGUGAACAGAAUCGGGUGGAAUUCCCCCGUCAAAUGUCGAAAAUCACGAUGUGUGCGUCAAUUAGCAAGUGAUUCUAUGUCGGCAUUGCCGUCACUCCCAUCACCUGGCUGGUCAUCAUCACAGGAGUCGGUUCCAUCAAUAUCACCACUAUCAUCCCCUUGGACAUAUUCUCCAAGAGAGAUGCCAGAUUCCACCCUCAUCGCUCGUCACGCCCAGUGUCCCCACCUCAUCGCUCAGCAUCACCUUGCUCUCCUGCUGAAUUUCACAUGCUUACACUGAUGGAACAAACAAAGCACCAGCUAACACAGCUGACUGCCAUGGUAAACUUAAUUCCUGGGAGGAUGGUGGAUGAAAGUUGACCAGAAGUACCCGAGGCCAUUCGGUGACCUUUUGGCUCACUGGAGGAGGUGGAACACCAUGAGGAGUGGCUUAAAGAACUACCAAAUUCCUCACAGAAAUGCAACUUGGUAUGAACUGACUUUUUAACCAUUGGAGCAACCAGAUGUUUAACACUAUGAUGAUGCUGCUCAUCGUUGACUUUUGAACAGUUUUAUUUUUAUAUAGAUAGAUAUAUUUUUUUGUGAAACAUUUACUUAUCUGGUUUGUCAAAUGAAAGCAAUAUUGUCUCAAUUUGUCAUUAGGUCAACAUUGUAGUGUACGGUGGUUUUCUACAUGCUGUACACAUAACGGAACAGACAUUUUAUGAUUGUAUUUGCAUGUCAUCGUUUUUAUCAGUUUUUGUGUACAGAGCAAAUAUUUGGUUAAUUCCAAAAUAAUAAUGAUCCAUGUUUUUAGUCCACUUUUGUAGAGGAAACAUCCUGUUGAUGCAUUUAUUCCAAAUUCAGAAACCUUAUCAAAAUUGAACCAAAUGUAGUUAGUAGACUUUACGCCGCUUUAACAGCCUUAUCGGUAUCGGCCGAUAAUUAGCAUUUUAUGCUGAUCGGCUUUGUCAUCAUUCGCCGGUCAUUGAUCGGCUCCGCAAAAGACAUUUAUUCCGCAUGGCCAUCGUGCACAAUAUAUUUGAAUCCAAAUGCUAGUUUAUUUUUACCCUUGUUGCGUGUCUCUUGACGUAGACCUGUAAAUAUCUGACGGCCAAUAAAGUUAUUUAAAAAAAUAAAA